rnacentral:rRNA from 1 species
GAUGAACGCUGGCGGCGUGCCUAAUACAUGCAAGUCGAGCGAACAGACGAGGAGCUUGCUCCUCUGACGUUAGCGGCGGACGGGUGAGUAACACGUGGAUAACCUACCUAUAAGACUGGGAUAAAUUCGGGAAACCGGAGCUAAUACCGGAUAAUAUUUUGAACCGCAUGGUUCAAUAGUGAAAGACGGUUUUGCUGUCACUUAUAGAUGGAUCCGCGCUGCAUUAGCUAGUUGGUAAGGUAACGGCUUACCAAGGCGACGAUGCGUAGCCGACCUGAGAGGGUGAUCGGCCACACUGGAACUGAGACACGGUCCAGACUCCUACGGGAGGCAGCAGUAGGGAAUCUUCCGCAAUGGGCGAAAGCCUGACGGAGCAACGCCGCGUGAGUGAUGAAGGUCUUCGGAUCGUAAAACUCUGUUAUUAGGGAAGAACAAAUGUGUAAGUAACUAUGCACGUCUUGACGGUACCUAAUCAGAAAGCCACGGCUAACUACGUG